rnacentral:rRNA from 1 species
GACGAACGCUGGCGGCGUGCUUAACACAUGCAAGUCGAACGGAAAGGCCCUGCUUUUGUGGGGUGCUCGAGUGGCGAACGGGUGAGUAACACGUGAGUAACCUGCCCUUGACUUUGGGAUAACUUCAGGAAACUGGGGCUAAUACCGGAUAGGAGCUCCUGCUGCAUGGUGGGGGUUGGAAAGUUUCGGCGGUUGGGGAUGGACUCGCGGCUUAUCAGCUUGUUGGUGGGGUAGUGGCUUACCAAGGCUUUGACGGGUAGCCGGCCUGAGAGGGUGACCGGCCAGAUUGGUACUGAGAUACGGCCCAGACUCCUACGGGAGGCAGCAGUGGGGAAUAUUGCACAAUGGGCGGAAGCCUGAUGCAGCAACGCCGCGUGCGGGAUGACGGCCUUCGGGUUGUAAACCGCUUUCGCCUGUAACGAAGCGUGAGUGACGGUAAUGGGUAAAGAAGCACCGGCUAACUACGUG